rnacentral:tRNA from 1 species
CCUGCUCCAGGCCGCGAUCGAGACCGGCUCCGGGCCGGUCCCGGAGCCGGGCCGGGACCCGGCGUUCGAGGCCCCGGUGCAGCC